GACGAACGCUGGCGGCGUGCUUAACACAUGCAAGUCGAACGGAAAGGCCCUGCUUUUGUGGGGUGCUCGAGUGGCGAACGGGUGAGUAACACGUGAGUAACCUGCCCUUGACUUUGGGAUAACUUCAGGAAACUGGGGCUAAUACCGGAUAGGAGCUCCUGCUGCAUGGUGGGGGUUGGAAAGUUUCGGCGGUUGGGGAUGGACUCGCGGCUUAUCAGCUUGUUGGUUGGGUAGUGGCUUACCAAGGCUUUGACGGGUAGCCGGCCUGAGAGGGUGACCGGACAAAUUGGGCCUGAGAUACGGCCCAGACUACUACGGGAGGCAGGAGUGGGGAAUAUAGCACAAUGGGAGGAAGCCUGAUGCAGCAACGCCGCGCGCGGGAUGACGGCAUUCGGGUUGUAAACCGAUUUCGCCUGUGACGAAGCGUGAGUGACGGUAAUGGGUAAAGAAGCACCGGCUAACUACGUG
rnacentral:rRNA from 1 species